UUGAAAGUUGACUAUCCUUGUUAUUUUUAACAAUUGACUAAUGCUUCCUAAUCAUUAACGUCUGUCAACAUAGUUAUGAAAAAGAUUAUUUUACCCUGUAUGGUAGAUUACUCGGAUCUCUCCCUCUCCCUCUCGUUCUCUUCGUCGGAACUGCCAAAAACACCGGAACUUGAAUCGGACAACAGUAAGACUCUUUACGGCCAGAACUGUAGAUCUCUCAGAACCAUCGGAACCGCCACUCUUCUCAGGCGCUCUUCUCCGUAAUCGCCAUCCUUCGGAACAGUAGAGGUCGGCGCCCCUCUCAUUCUCUUUGAAACCAUUGCAACCGCCACUCCUCUAGCUCUCUUCUAAAACACCACAUCCCGUUCAGCCAUCUCCUCAAUCGGAGACCCCUUCAAGCGCUUCUUCUAAAGCACACCCAUCCUACGAGUUCCGCAUCAGGAGAGUCUCGAUUUUGAUCGCAAAGAAGAGAUCCUAAGACUCUUCAGGUUUUGAUUUUGAUCCUGGAUGGGAGAGAAGCAAAAUUGAAAGAGGGCUUUCGUACAGUUUUGACUUAAUUUUUUGGGUGUUUUUUUUCCUGAUUUUUCUGCUUCUUUUUCUGUUGAUUCAUUCUUUUAUUGGCAAUAGAGCAAAAUAUUCUUCUGACUACACAGUUAUCUUUUGAUGACUUUGGAGAUGCAAAGGCUUGGCAUCUUGGGUUCCGAUUCCACACUGCUAUCUUCUGAUGGUUUUGGAGAUGCAAAGGCUUGGCGUCUUGGGUUCCGAUUCCACCCCACGGAUGAGGAACUGAUCCUCUAUUAUCUAAAGAUGAAAAUGUGUAGACGCCGAAUCCAGCUCAAUCAUAGAAAUCGACGUCUACAAGUGGGAUCCUGAAGAAUUACCAAGUUGAACUAAAGCCAAUGGCUGUCGGUAAUUCCUCCUCCAGAAGAAAAUCUUUGUUGCAGGUCGAACUAAAGCCAAAGCACGUUAAGCCUUCCUCCGAGAUUUGGGAUUGUUUUUUUCUUUCGUUAUGUGCGUUGUCUACAGGAUGCCUGUCGUCUGUUGUCGGACGUGAAAGACUUGUAGUUGACGGAGCCGGAGACUUUCCUCCUGCAGCACUUGCGAAGCCGGAGCCGCCUCCCCUGCAACAUUUACGGAGUUGGAGCCUGUGUCACGUCCUACAGUCAUAAUACAGGGGUAGUAUGGAAAGGUCGGGAAAGAUGAACAGUAUUCUUUAUAGUACGGGGAUUAAAAAAUAUUGUAACGUCUUUUUGGAUGGAAGGCUAAUGGAAGCCUGUAGUUUGUCUCACGGUCAUAGGGGUCUUUGUGGCAAAAUAAAGUACAGGGGUCUUUGUCACAGACCCAUAGUACAGGAGUCUUUAUAAUUUAUUUGUUAAGGGUAAA